rnacentral:rRNA from 1 species
GCGGACGGGUGAGUAAUGUCUGGGAAACUGCCUGAUGGUGGGGGAUAACUACUGGAAACGGUAGCUAAUACCGCAUAACGUCGCAAGACCAAAGAGGGGGACCUUCGGGCCUCUUGCCAUCGGAUGUGCCCAGAUGGGAUUAGCUAGUAGGUGAGGUAACGGCUCACCUAGGCGACGAUCCCUAGCUGGUCUGAGAGGAUGACCAGCCACACUGGAACUGAGACACGGUCCAGACUCCUACGGGAGGCAGCAUG